GUAUCCGCGACAACAAAGGAGGGUGUUUUGGCCAAACGCAUUAAUUCCAUAAGUUUUAGUUGAGGAUUGGUCGUCUCUGAACUUGGCAUCCGGUAAGAGCAAUAUAUAUAGCUACUAUAUGUUUUUAUUUAAGUUUGGAAUACUGUAAAAGCUGUUGGUCCUAGUAUAUACUUAUAAAUGCCUAAAACAAACAACCAAUUAUUUCAGCGUGUUCCUGCUUUUCAUCUUACUGCUGUGUAGUCAACGAUAUCUAUGUAUAAAGGCCAUGUAAGUCAGUCUAGGACUAGAGCCAUACUAUUACGUCUAUUACUGUAGACAACGGUUCAAGCUUAGCUAUGUAAAAAAUAAGCGAUCUUCAAUAUGAAAUUUUGCGAGGGUUAAAAAAGAGCUAUAUUAGUAUAUAUUCGUCGCCAAACAAUAGUGAUGUCGCAGUUUCAAGCUGUUUGGACAAUUGCCAAUAUAAUUGCGUUCGCGUUAUUAUGUUCAUAUAGUAUAAUCAUGGGAAAUUGAACAUACUCUGACUUCUUGACGUGUUUGGCAGACAGGCUGUGAAAAGUUUUAGAUAUUUUCAACAAAAACAAAUGCCUUUCUGCAAUAUAGUAGUAAUUAAAGUCAUAUGCGUUAAAAUGAAACAAGAUAAUUAAAUAAAUUCCGUCGACAUCCGUUUCAGCGAGACCCUUGCGGCCUUUCGUUUCAUGUACGUAGACUUUAUAAACUGGCCAGUGUACGGCCAUGCUUUCUAAAGGUAUUAUUAUAACCACCUUAUAGCUACUAAGGUGGAUAUCAGAAAAACUAGAGAUGAUUUGUACAAACCAAGUGUUGGCUCCAUGACCGCAGUUACCCUGAAGAAAAAUGUUCUCCUCAAACGCAGACAUUAUAAUCUGUUGGCAACCUUGUAGCUAGGAUAUCAGCACAACUUAGAGGCGCUUUUUGCAAAAGAAUUGCCGUCUUGACAAAAACAGUUUCUCUGGGAAUAAGCUUCUAUUUUACGCCUUUCUUAGGCCUGCAUAAAGAAUCAUUACUUACAUAAUAGUUUCAGGACAACAAGUUCAGUUACUCUUUAAUGCUUUAUAUAUAUAGCGUAAAAUUUUUCUCCGACUGCGCAUCCUAUGAUCCUAGCCUUCUCAAGGUGUUAGCAAUCUUAUAUGCAGGAUGUAAGUUUGAAGACAAGUGCUACCUCUACUCAGUCUACUGUAUUUCAUAUAAUUGUUUUGUCUUGUUGAAAACAUCACGUUUGAACCUCAACGACGCCAUACAGCUACGCAGGGGAAUCAUGAACCAUAUUUGACAAAAUUUGUUCAGAUUUGACUUCCACUACCGCUCAGUACCAUGAAGGGACUAUUAACCAAUCAGAUGCGUUUAAUUUUAAUAUAUCCGAUUUGAACCCGCAAUCAGAUGCGUACUAAGCCAUUAAUGAAAGGUAGUCAAGUAGUGUAAUUCAAAUCUGAACCUCUUUAUUAAUAUUAUAUUAUUUUUACCGUAUCAAAACAUGCAAUGAACUUCAUUUCUAAUAGUUUUGUUUGUGGAAACACCACGUAAAUUUAUUACUGCAAAACUUUCGAUCCGUAAGCCCGGAUCUUCAUCAGUGCUAAUAAUAUGAACAAAACUGUUAUAUUUUAUCACCAUGCAAACAUACAAAGAACUUAUAACUUCAUUUCUAUUUUAGCUUGAAUAUGUCCUAUAAACUACUGGUAAUCAGUAUUUUGGUCUCUUGGAUCUCACUUGCCUGUGCUAAACUGAAGGAAAGAUAAUUUCAUUUUAAUAUAGUUUAUUUUUAUAUGAUGUGUUUCAUUAACUUCAAUCAUAUUUAGGGGUUACCCCACCCUGGAUCAGGGCUCAGACGCAGACCUGCAAUCGGGUAUAAAAUGGUUGAGACACAUAAAAAAUAGUCGCCAAUGUUAUCGCUAAAUCACCUAACCUCCCCCCCCCAACCUACUCCCUCUUUCAAUGUUGUUUACCUAAUUAGUGGUUUCAUUUUACAACAUUACCAACAUUGGU
rnacentral:lncRNA from 1 species